rnacentral:ncRNA from 1 species
AAAAAUGCUCUGAUGGAGAGAAAGAUAUCAUUGAUUAUUUAAAGAGAGUUGGGAAGGGUGAAAACCAACAAUAACAAGAUAUGUAAUAUACACUCCUGAGCCGAUUUGCUAAAAGGUUAUCCAAGUAGGCAAAUCCGAAAGCCCAUCGUUAUAAGGGAUAAGACUGUUAGGUCUGAUUGAGUGAUGACUUUUGUCAUAAUUAGGGUGGUACCACGGAGAUAUAAUCUUUCGUCCCUAUA